UGGGGAAUUUUGCACAAUGGGGGAAACCCUGAUGCAGCGACGCCGCGUGAUUUAGAAGGCCUUCGGGUUGUAAAAAUCUUUUCUAUGGGACGAAAAUGACAGUACCAUAGGAAUAAGGACCGGCUAAUUACGUGCCAGCAGCCGCGGUAAUACGUAAGGUCCGAGCGUUGUCCGGAAUCAUUGGGCGUAAAGGGUACGUAGGCGGGUAAGCAAGUUAGAAGUGAAAUCCUAUAGCUCAACUAUAGUAAGCUUUUAAAACUGCUCAUCUUGAGGUAUGGAAGGGAAAGUGGAAUUCCUAGUGUAGCGGUGAAAUGCGCAGAUAUUAGGGGGAAUACCGGUGGCGAAGGCGACUUGCUGGCCAUAACCUGACGCUGAGGUACGAAAGCGUGGGUAGCAAACAGG
rnacentral:rRNA from 1 species